CCUCAGUGUCUCCUCUCCUUUGGGAGAACGGAAGGACGCCUGCGGCCUACGUACUCAAUUAAAAAAAAAUUCUGGGAACAGCAGUAAGAAGAAUCUCUUACUAGUCACUGACCUUACUAGCAUUAAGAUUAUCAUUAUCAAAACUGAAGCUCUAAAUAUCUUCGGGAAGCUGGUGAUCAUUACCUAGAGCAACGUUUUCUGUCUUUUAGGCUAGCGUUUACGUGGAUCCGGUGUCUGGCGGGCCAAGGUCUCCAUGUGCUACAGAGCAUACUCCAGGCUGACUGCGACGGGCAGGUGCCUGAAGGCGCAAGUGUUUGUCACCAUCCAACCAAUCCUCAUAAUCACAAUAAAACCCUGCAUGUGACUCCAGGAGAGUAAAAUAUUAAGCAGAACUGGACCAGCAGUCUAAUUCUGACGUGACUUAAACAUACGUAGUGUUUGAAAUGGUACCUGGCCCACAGUAAACAAAUGUAGUAAACAGGUACUGUUAUUCCAGGACAGUCUAAAGAAGUGGCAUUAUGAGGGACUUGCUGCCAUGGCCCUGUCUGGAAGCAGAUGGGGACCUGAACACACCAGGUACUCUCCUUUCCCCC